GACGUUCCUCGGCGACGCCAUAGAGGUGGGCCUUCGGCGACGUCACAGGCGCGGGCGUUCGGCGACGUUACUGGGGCUGCACGGUGCUUGCAGCUGGGCAGUCUUAUCAUCAGAGUGGAGCCUGGUAACCACGACCUCCCCGCCAGGUCCUGUGUGUUGCUAGCUGGAGAAGGGUAGUUGAAAACUCAGACCAAGCACAGUGUUUAUAUCGGUCAAAACUAGAAAACUAUGUCCGGGCGCGGCCGAGGCUGGAGGAUCCCUUCAGGCCAAGAGCAACCUAGCAAUAUGGCGCGACCGGAUCUCUGUAGUCCUACCUCACUCAACCCCCAGCUACUUGAACCCCAAGGUUGAAGGCUCCAAUGAGCUAUGAUCCCACCACAGCAUUGCAGCCUGCCAGACUGAGGCUGGAGUUGCAAUCUCGGCUCACCACAACCUCUGCCUCCCGGAUUCAAGAGAUUCUCCUGCCUCAGCCUCCCAAGUAGCUGGGACUACAGGUGUGCAUCACCCUGCCCAGCUGGAGUUUUGCUCUUGUCGCCCAUGCUGGAGUGUGAUCGUGGCUCACUGCAAUCUCUGCCUCCCAGACAUGAACUUAUGAAUUCAACACAUGAAGACUUACAACUUGAUAAACCAGCUUCAGGAGAUUGAGAAAACUUGUAUUCCUGUGAUUUCGAUAGUGAAGGAAGUAUGAUAUACCAGAAUCACUAAAUUAUGAAAGAUGGUAGAUCAGCUUUUUGCAAAAAAAUUUGGUUCCUGAAAGGGAGAGAGGAAAUCUUCGAUUUUUCAUGGCUGUGAACCACUGCAAGUAUUGAGGAAAUAUUUACUACUUCCAGCCUCAUAAUCCUGCAGUCAUUUGGCACCUUAACUCCAGUUAGCCUCCAUUGUCUCCAAGCCGGCUUUCGUCCUCAUCCACAAUGCCUCCACACAAGCGCUGAACACCUGUCCAUGUAAAAAUAUCAAGAAAUGCUGAGGCCCAUGUCCCAGAACAACAGUCCUUUAGGUGGAUCACACAUUCUCCACUACACCAAGCUCUGCUCACAGGUUGGAGACACGCUUUUUGCAGAAUAUGUGAAGGAACAUUUUGGAACCCAUUGAGGACUAUGUGGAAAAACCAAAUAUCCCUAGAAAAAAACAAGUUGGAAAGACUCGUUUUGUAGAAUCUAUGAAGGGAAAAUCAAACCCCUUUGAGGCCUAUGGGGAAAAACCAAAUAUCUCCAGAUAAAAACUAGAAAGAAGCUAUCUGUGAAACUGCUUUGUGAUGUGUGGAUUCAUCUCACAGAAUUAAACCUUUCUUUUGAUUCAACAGGUUGGAAACACUCAUUUUGUAGAAUCUGCCAAUGGACAUUUGGGAGUCCAUUGAGGCCUAUGGGGAAAAACAAAAUAUCCUCAGAUAAAAACUAGAAAGAAGUUAUCUGGGAAACUGAUUUGUGAUGUGUGGAAUCAUCUCACAGUGUUAAACUUUUCUUUUGAUUCAGCACAUUGGAACCACUCUUUUUGUAGAAUCUGCAAAGGGACAUUUGGGAGCCCUUUGAGUCCUAUGGGGUAAAACAGAAUAUCCUCGGAUAAAAACUAGAAAGAAGCCAUCUGUGAAACUGCUUGGUGAUGUGUGGAUUCAUCUGACAGAGUUAAAACUUUCUUUUGAUUCAGCAGGUUGGAAACACUCUUUUUGUAGAAUCUGCAAAGAGACAUUUCAGAGCUUGUCAAGGCCUGUCGGGAAAAAAUGAAUAUCCUCAGAUAAAAGUAGUAAGAAACUAUAUGUGAAGCUCCUUUGUGGCGUGUGCAUUCCUCUCAUAAUCCUUCCUUUUGUUUCAGCAGGUUGGAAACACUCGUUUUGUAGAAUCUGUGAGGAGACAUUUGGGAGGCCAUUUUGACCCAUGGGGAAAAACCAAAUAUCCCCAGGUUGAAAACACUCUCUUUGUAGAAUCUGCGAAGGAACAUUUCAGAGCCCAUUGAAGCAUUAAGAAUAAUCUGAAUAUCCUGAGAUAAAAACUAGAAAGGAGCUAUCUGUGAAACUGCUUGGUGAUGCAUGGAUUCAACUCAAUAGUUAAACCUUUCUUUUUAUUCAGCAGGUGGUUAGAAACACUCUUAUUGAAGAAUCUGCAAAGGGACUUUUGGGAAGCCAUUGACGCUUAAGGGAAAAAAACGAAUAUCCUCAGAUAAAAACUAAAAAAAAUGCUAUGUGAAACUGCCUUGUGAUAUGUGGAUUCAACUCACAGAG